UCCCAAGUGCUCAGGAGCUACAACAGUAAAGCCAAUGAGGUUUAACUGAGGCGCGAUUAUUGCUUAUUGCAAACUUUUCCCAAUACCCUGCUACGGUGACUUGCAACAAAGUCACUAUUAGCAAUUUUUGAUAGUCUCUUCGGAGA